rnacentral:rRNA from 1 species
UACGUAGGUGGCAAGCGUUGUCCGGAUUUACUGGGCGUAAAGGGCGUGCAGGCGGUCUGUUAAGUCUAGGGUGAGAGCUCCCGGCUCAACUGGGAGAGGUCCUUGGAUACUGGCGGACUUGAGGGAGGCAGAGGAAAGUGGAAUUCCCGGUGUAGUGGUGAAAUACGUAGAGAUUGGGAAGAACACCAGUGGCGAAGGCGGCUAUCUGGACGGUUUCUGACGCUAAGACGCGAAAGCGUGGGGAGCAAACAGG